rnacentral:rRNA from 1 species
CGAGGAGAGUGGUGUGCUGAGUUGUCAGUUGUCGUUUUAGUUCGGUAAGAGCCGUGCUCGUCGGCCUCACGUAGCGGCACUCGCCACUCGGCGAGGCUGCACGCGGCGACUGGAGCGACCUAGUUGGUACGGGCUCGGAGUGUCGGUGGGUCUAGGUGGGCAGGGUUAGGAAGUACAGCGACCUAGAAUACCAAGGUUCCGUGUGACGGAAGCAGAGGCUAGUAGUGCUCUGGGCGGCGGCGGUAGGGCACGUUAGGUUGACGAUCUUUCGCAGCGGGGAGAAGGUUCUGCAGGAGCUCAAGGACGGUGGGCGUAGGCAACCUAUACCGCAGGGCCAUGGGAGCCGACGCCUAGACCGGCGUUGAGACAACAAGGGGAAAACGGUCUAAGUAAAGAACCCGCCUACCGCACCAAACACACAAUUAAGUACAGAACUAUACAUCUCGUCUACGAGGAGAGCAGGUUAGGAUACAAAAACAACAAGUGAUUAGAAUACGUUCGUUCGAAGAAACGAACAUGUGGGUUAGUAGAGAAAAGCCUACAUGCACAUAAGUAGUUAAACAGGCAAAGUUUUUUUUCAUAAGUAGUCAAACAUUCGGUUAGAAGAAAGACCACGUAAAAUAGAUCGUCUUCAAAGAAAAACCCAUAUAAAGAAGAAGGUAUGGACAGUUACUUCAAUAAUAACACUGUAUUUGUGUAACCACUACAAAAAAAGAACAUCCGUUUUUUCUAGAAAAAAUCCGUUCUUGUGAAUCUACUACAACAAGUCAUGUUAAAAGUCGAAAACUUUUGUUCGUGCCACCUGAAGGAGCUGUCAAUAAUGUUCAGGUAGUUCGAUCGACCAGCCAAAAGCCACCUACUUUAAGACUUUCCUUUUUACGGUAGAAGCCGCUAAGGUUGUCGAGAAGGGUCCUUUCUUUUAUAUGAUGAUAGAACCGGCCGCGGCCCAGGCCCAAUACAACGGGAUUGACAGCUACCUAGAAAGGUCCGUCGUCUAUCGAGCCGCCGGCGGCCUUACCACAACGCGCUGGUAGUUCCUGUCUAGUAGAAACGUCGUAUGGCUCAGGACAAGGUGACAUUGCUGCGAGACCUCCGACUUGAAGUGCGCGAGUACGUCCCAUACCGGAACCGGUAGGUUGUGAGCCUAGAAGGUCAGCAGCAGGUCAGCCUAAGACAGUAAACCAAGAUCUCUAAUUCCUCAACUACUCAUUAUCCCUCAAACAUGGAAACUUUUAGACAGCAAGAGUCUUAUCUCAACGGCUAGCCAACCGGUUAAUAUCGGCUAGGCUCGCCCGAUGUCGCCACACCAACGCAAGCCAAGGUGGAACAUAACUCCUAAACACCGGAGAGCUGACAUUGUGAUACUGUAAACUUAUUUUGAGGGAAAUGAGAGUGAAACUUAUUUUGUAAACUUAUUUUG